rnacentral:rRNA from 1 species
UGGGGAAUAUUGCACAAUGGGCGCAAGCCUGAUGCAGCCAUGCCGCGUGUGUGAAGAAGGCCUUCGGGUUGUAAAGCACUUUCAGCGAGGAGGAAGGUGGUGAACUUAAUACGUUCAUCAAUUGACGUUACUCGCAGAAGAAGCACCGGCUAACUCCGUGCCAGCAGCCGCGGUAAUACGGAGGGUGCAAGCGUUAAUCGGAAUUACUGGGCGUAAAGCGAGUGUAGGCGGUUGCCGUAGUCAGGUGUGAAAGCCUUGAGCUCAACUCAAGAAAUGCACUUGAUACUGGGUNACUAGAGGACCGGAGAGGAUAGUGGGAAAUUCCCCAGUGUAGUGGUGAAAUACGUAGAGAUUGGGGAAAGAACACCAGUGGCGAAGGCGGCUAUCUGGACGGUUACUGACGCUAAGACUCGAAAGCGUGGGGAGCAAACAGGAUUAGAUACCCCUGGUAGUCCACGCCGUAAAGCGAUGGGUGCUAGACGUUGGCGAGCUUGCUCGUCAGUGUCGCAGUAACGCGUAGCACCCCGCCUGGGGGAGUACGGCCCGCAAGGUUGAAACUUAAAUGAAUUGCGGGGGUCAUAGCUGUUU